rnacentral:lncRNA from 1 species
AGAAACAGAUCUGCUCCUAUAGACCUUUCUAGGCUUCAGCAUACCCUCCCCCCCCCCCCCGUCUGAUCACAGCACUUGUGAAGGGGGCUGGCUACACAUGACUGCCCCUUAAACCAUGUUAGGGAUGAACCCUGCCACUUAAAGGAGGAAGACAAGGACUUACCCGGCUUCUGGAGUCCACAUUUAGGAGACACACUCCACAAGCCAGCUCCUGGGCGUUUUUGAUCCCAGGCCGUAACAUACAGGAGGAAAAAUCCAGUGAAUUCUCAUCUGGCUGAAGAGGACAAGAAAGAUAGCACAAGGAGAUCAGCUGUCUCAAGCUCCCACCAGAGCUAGACAAGCUCUCGACACCACGUCUUCUCCGCUGUGAUGGACACCACCACAAAUGGGGAGCCAAACGUUCCCUUCUUCAGGUUGCUCUGCUGAAGCAUUUUGUUGUAACAAGAAAAGAAACUAAUGAGAAGAAUCCUGUUGCCGCGCGUUGUUCUUACUGGCGGGACAUUAGGCGCGCGACAAGUGGUGCCGAAACCCGGUAACCAACAUCGCCGGUGCCGAGGGGACCCUUCAGUGUGAUGAAGAGGAUUCAGAACUGCGAGAAGGUAAAUUAAAAGGUAAGCUUCGAGAGGCAUGCCCCUUUUUGGAAGAGAGCAUGUCAGAAACGGAGCAGAGUGAGAAAUUAGGCUUCCAAGAGGCAUGCCCCUUUUUGGAUUUAA